rnacentral:rRNA from 1 species
UACGUGGGUGCAAGCGUUGUCCGGCAUUAUUGGGCGUAAAGAGCUCGUAGGCGGUCUGUCGCGUCGGCUGUGAAAACUUGGGGCUCAACCCCAAGCCUGCAGUCGAUACGGGCAGACUAGAGUCCGGCAGGGGAGACUGGAAUUCCUGGUGUAGCGGUGAAAUGCGCAGAUAUCAGGAGGAACACCGGUGGCGAAGGCGGGUCUCUGGGCAGUAACUGACGCUGAGGAGCGAAAGCGUGGGGAGCGAACAGG